rnacentral:rRNA from 1 species
UACGGGGGGGGCAAGCGUUGUUCGGAAUUACUGGGCGUAAAGGGCUCGUAGGUGGCCAACUAAGUCAGACGUGAAAUCCCUCGGCUUAACCGGGGAACUGCAUCUGAUACUGGAUGGCUUGAGUUUGGGAGAGGGAUGCGGAAUUCCAGGUGUAGCGGUGAAAUGCGUAGAUAUCUGGAGGAACACCGGUGGCGAAGGCAGCUCUCUGGGACGGUACUGACACUGAGACGCGAAAGCGUGGGGAGCGAACAGG